rnacentral:rRNA from 1 species
AUUGAACGCUGGCGGCAGGCCUAACACAUGCAAGUCGAGCGGAUGAAGGGAGCUUGCUCCUGGAUUCAGCGGCGGACGGGUGAGUAAUGCCUAGGAAUCUGCCUGGUAGUGGGGGAUAACGUCCGGAAACGGGCGCUAAUACCGCAUACGUCCUGAGGGAGAAAGUGGGGGAUCUUCGGACCUCACGCUAUCAGAUGAGCCUAGGUCGGAUUAGCUAGUUGGUGGGGUAAAGGCCUACCAAGGCGACGAUCCGUAACUGGUCUGAGAGGAUGAUCAGUCACCCCGGCAAUGGAGACACGGCCCGCCCCCCUCGGGGGGGCGGCGGGGGGAAAUUUUGGAGAUGGGCCGAAGCCCUGACCCAGCUGUCCGGCGUGUGGAAAGAAGUUCUUGGAAUUGAAAGCCAUUUUAAGUUGGGAGAAGGGGAAGUAAGUAAAUCCCUUCUUUUUUUGACGUUACCAACAAAAAAGCCCCCGCCUACCUUCGUG